UCAUCGUGGUACCAGGAACAUAACUGAAACGAAACAGUCUUUUCUUCAUAUGCAACUUAUUUUGACUGUUCUUCUUCAGGAAUUUCUCCUCCAAUGCUUUCCACAAUUUACUUGCAGAAGUCUCUUUACUGAAUAUAUACUUCUGCUCUCUGGAAAGACAUGAUCGAAUUGUACCACAUGCCAAUCGGUUGAUGGUCUUCC
rnacentral:lncRNA from 1 species